CACCCCCCCAUCCUACCGUUCAAGGAUAUGCAUCUUCUCCUCCUCCUCCUCAUAGAGUUCCACCUCCACCACCGCCAUUACCAAGAUGUGGAGCUCCAGCUGCACCACCCCCNNNNNNNGCGGUGGUGGAGGUGGAACUCUACCACCACCUCCUCCUCCUCCUCCUCCUCCGUCACGUGGAGCUCUACCAUCCCCACCACCUCCUCCUUUACAUGGAGCUCCACCCCUGCCACCUCCUUCAUGUGGAGCUCCACCACCCCCACCACCACCUCCUUUACGUGGAGCUCCACCGCCACCUCCACCUCCACCACCUCCUCCCUUGCGUGGAGCCCCACC
rnacentral:misc_RNA from 1 species